ACCUUUUGUGGUGCAGUUGGUAUCGCCUUGGAUUAGUAAUUAUAAGUCCUAGGUUCAAGUCCUGGUUAGGAUA